GCUUUCUGAUGAAUUAACUGGCAGUGAACUGAGAGCAGAAGGAAUCUGGCCGCCAGAGGCUGGUACUUGCACCUGAACCCCCAUCUCCGGCGAACAGACAGUCCGACGCAUAUUGUCUGCCACGAGUGCACAUUCUGAAAACAGGAGAUUAAUUUAGUUCCCCAAAAUGGGAAGAACCUACAUUGUAGAAGAGACUGUGGGCCAGUAUCUUUCAAACAUAAAUCUCCAAGGAAAGGCUUUUGUCUCUGGCCUUUUAAUAGGACAGUGUUCUUCACAAAAGGAUUAUGUGAUUCUUGCCACUAGAACGCCACCCAAAGAGGAACAAAGUGAGAACCUCAAACAUCCCAAAGCUAAGUUGGAUAACUUGGAUGAAGAAUGGGCCGCAGAACAUGCCUACCAGGUAUCCAGAAUGCUACCAGGAGGACUUUUAGUUCUUGGAGUAUUUAUUAUUACUACUUUAGAAAUUGCAAAUGAUUUUCAAAAUGCCCUGCGUAGACUAAUGUUUGCUGUGGGAAAGUCUAUAAAUAGAAAGAGACUGUGGAAUUUCACAGAGGAGGAGGUCUCAGAACGAGUGACACUUCACAUUUGUGCUUCUACAAAAAAAAUAUUUUGUCGAAGUUAUGAUAUCCAUGAUCCAAAGAGUUCAGCAAGACCGGCAGAUUGGAAGUAUCAAAAUGGAUUGUCAUCCUCAUGGCUUUCUUUAGAGUGUACAGUUCACAUUAAUAUUCACAUCCCACUUUCUGCUACUUCUGUCAGCUAUAGUCUGGAGAAAAAUACAAAGAAUGGACUUACACGCUGGGCCAAGCAAAUAGAAAAUGGUGUUUAUUUGAUUAAUGGACAAGUUAAAGAUGAAGAUUGUGACCUAUUAGAAGGACAGAAAAAAUCUUCCAGAGGAAAUACUCAAGCAACUGGUCAUUCUUUUGAUGUCAGAGUGCUAACACAGUUGCUCCUGAAUUCAGACCACAGAUCCACAGCCACCGUCCAGAUAUGUAGCGGUUCUGUAAACCUUAAGGGUGCUGUGAAAUGCCGAGCUUAUAUCCACAACAGUAAACCCAAAGUUAAAGAGGCUGUGCAGGCAGUAAAGAGGGAUAUAAUGAACACAGUUGCUGAUCGUUGUGAAAUACUGUUUGAGGAUCUCCUUUUGAAUGAAAUUCCAGAAAAAAAAGAUUCUGAAAAAGAGUUCCACAUCCUCCCUCGUCGAGUCUUUGUUCCCCUUCCUGGAUCCACUGUAAUGUUGUGUGAUUAUAAAUUUGAUGACGAGUCGGCUGAAGAAAUCAGAGACCAUUUUAUGGAGAUGUUGGAUCAUACAAUUCAAAUAGAAGAUGUGGAAAUUGCAGAGGAAAUAAACACAGUCUAGUAUAGAGAUGGAUUAACAGUAGGAAGAGUUUAAUAUUACAAGAACAAAGGAAGCAAAACAGCAAUUUGGAAAUUUUAGUUUGUGUGAGUUCCUCUGUGAAUAGUCAAGCUUCAUUGGACAACACAGAUGAUGAACAACCAAAACAGCCAAUUAAAACUACAAUAUUAUUGAAAAUUCAGCAAAACAUAGGUGUGAUUGCAGCAUUUACAGUUGCAGUCCUUGCUGCCGGUAUCUCCUUUCAUUACUUCAGUGAUUAGGGUGAGGCACAAAGAUUUUCUUGAUCAUCCAGAGAACAUUGACAGACAAUUAUGAACAAUAAAGAUGCUGACAGUCAACCUAUAUUUAAAACAGUAGCAGCCAGAUCUGCUGCCAUGAUGCCUAUUAGGUGUGUUUCUGACUAAAAUGAAAUCACAAGCUGCCUUGUUUAGCCUGCUUUAAAUUGUAGGUGGCCCACAUUUCCAAAAAUAAAGUUAUGCUUCUAGAUGGAAGCUGCAUGUAACAAAUCAUUAUUAUUUUUUAAAAGGUUCAAAAUGAUGGGAUAUGAUCAUAGAUUUUUAGUCUUACUAAUCUGAAUCACAUAUUAAUCAGGACAUUAAAACUUGAACAGAGGCCAGGCAUGGUGGCUUACACCUAUAAUCUCAACACUUUGGGAGGCUGAGGCAGGAGGAUCACCUGGGACUAGGAGGGAGUUGGAGACCAGCCUGUUGAUAUAAUGACGUUCCGUUUCUACCAAAAAAAAAAAAAAAAAUACCUGGACAUGGUGGCAUGCAUCUCUAGUCCCAGCUACUUGGAGGCUGAAUCAGGAGGAUCACUUGAGUUUGAGGCUGCAGCAAGCUAUGAUUGCAUCACUGUACUCCUGCCUGGGUGACAAAAUGAGACCUUGUCGCUAAAAUAAAUAAGUAUAUUUUAAAAACAAAAAAAAAAUAGUAAUUUCAACAGUCAAUGUUGAUGCAACAUCUAAUAAUAAUAGGGUACCAGGAGAAAUUUCUACCGAGUAAUGAGACGACCACCUUAGGAUAGGUUCAUCCUCUAGGACCUUCCUAAUGUUCACUCAAUUCCCAUAUACUGUGAGUUUUGUUCUGAUCAAGGGGUAGGGAACCUUUCCAAAGAGAUUCUGUUAAUAAGAAAUGACAUAAAAUAUGUGCUUUCUCAGGUUACUGUAUCAUAAUUUUAAAAAUAUAUUUAAUAUAUAAAAUAAGAUUUUUGCUUCCAGCAAGGUUAGACUAGCUGUUAAAAAACAACUAGAUCUUGAAUAAAUUCUACUUUUGAAUAGGUUCACAAGAAGUAGGAGAACUUUCAAGAACCAUACUUCUACCUUUCCUCUGCCACAAACAAUGAACACAUUUUAAGGUAGGAGUCAUGAAUACUAUAUUAACCAUACAAGUGGACUGUGAUUGUCUGGAUGGCAGAUACCAAUGGCAACACUGCCGUAUGCAGUUUGUCUCAAAUCAGAAACAAGAAGAGAUGUGAACCUGAGAUGCUGCCCUAGACAGGACAGUUAAAGAAGAUUGAGUGGCCCUCAGUUUGUAGUGCUCUACCUCCUGGCAGAAGAAAGAGAGAAACAUUCCUAAUUUAGUUCCAAGACUCCUACAGAUUAUUAUCAAGUAGUAGUAUUUUAUGACUAGAGAUCAGAGGCACAAGGUGAAACAAGCUAACAUGUCAAGGGAGCUAUAGAAAAAAUAAACAUUGAACUCAGUUCUUCAAGGUUUCAUCACCAAGAUAAGAAAUGAAGUUGGAACAAUAGGCAGAUCUGAAAAAGAACCAAAUAGAACUUGAAAUGAGAAAUAUUUAUUGAAAUAAGAAAAAAUCCCUCAGAUAUAUUGAAUAUUAUAUUAGACUCAGCUGGAGAGACAAGUGAACUAUAAGCUGGAUCUAAAGAAAUUACCCAAUGAACAACAAGGAGAUAGAAAACAUUAGAAAAUUAAGAGAGCUGGAGGGAAGAAUUACAAAGACUAAGAAUACUAGAAGGUAUUCUUAAACAAUUGUAAAACUAAAUAAACAUUAGAGAAUGAAGGAGAGGCAAUACUUGAAGAGACAACACAAUUUUCCAAAUUUGUUGAAAAAACGUGAAUUCAUAAAUUCAGGAAGCACAGUAUAUACCAAACAUCUAAUUAAAUAAAAUCCAGGCCCAGACUCAAGAUAGUAAAUGACAAAAUACCAAACACAAGAUUUUGAAAGCAACCAUGGGGAGAAAAAGAUCAACAAUGAAGGGAAGGCAGUCAAAUACUUAGUAGGCUUCCUACCAACAACAGUGUACCCCAAAGAGGGUAGAAUUCUGAGAAAAACUAUUAGCUUAGAAUUUGCUACAAGCAAAACUGAAACAAACACAUGCUGAGAUGAAAAACAGAUAUUAUCUUCAGUAGAACUUCAGCAAAAAGACUACAAAAGAAUGAUCUUCAAAAAGGAAAAUGAUUCUAAAGGGUGAUCUGAAAUUGAACUAGUGAGCAAAUAAAUGAUAAACAUGUAAAUUUAAACUGUUGUUUCUAUAAAACAAUUAUAAUGAAAAGUAUAAGAAAUUGUAAACAAUUGUAAAACUAAAUAAACAUUGUUUUGCAACAUUA